CUGAGAGGUGGUGCAUGGCCGUCGUCAGUUCGUACUGUGAAGCAUCCUGUUAAGUCAGGCAACGAGCGAGACCCACGUCCACAGUUGCCAGCAUACCCUCCGGGGUGAUGGGUACACUGUGUAGACCGCCGCUGCUAAAGCGGAGGAAGGAGUGGGCAACGGUAGGUCAGUAUGCCCCGAAUCUCCCGGGCUACACGCGGGCUACAAUGGUUGGUACAAUGGGCAUCUACCCCGAAAGGGGAAGGAAAUCUCUUAAAGCCAAUCGUAGUUCGGAUUGAGGGCUGCAACUCGCCCUCAUGAAGCUGGAAUCCGUAGUAAUCGCGUUUCAACAGAACGCGGUGAAUACGUCCCUGCUCCUU
rnacentral:rRNA from 1 species